rnacentral:rRNA from 1 species
CUACGGGGGGCAGCAGUGGGGAAUAUUGGACAAUGGGCGAAAGCCUGAUCCAGCCAUGCCGCGUGUGUGAAGAAGGCCUUCGGGUUGUAAAGCACUUUCAGUGGGGAAGAAAGCCUUGGGGCUAAUACCCUCGAGGAAGGACAUCACCCACAGAAGAAGCACCGGCUAACUCCGUGCCAGCAGCCGCGGUAAUACGGAGGGUGCGAGCGUUAAUCGGAAUUACUGGGCGUAAAGCGCGCGUAGGCGGUCUGAUAAGCCGGUUGUGAAAGCCCCGGGCUCAACCUGGGAACGGCAUCCGGAACUGUCAGCCUAGAGUGCAGGAGAGGAAGGUAGAAUUCCCGGUGUAGCGGUGAAAUGCGUAGAGAUCGGGAGGAAUACCAGUGGCGAAGGCGGCCUUCUGGACUGACACUGACGCUGAGGUGCGAAAGCGUGGGUAGCAAACAGGAUUAGAUACCCUAGUAGUC